AGUGAACGCUGGCGGUAGGCCUAACACAUGCAAGUCGAACGGCAGCACAGUAAGAGCUUGCUCUUACGGGUGGCGAGUGGCGGACGGGUGAGGAAUACAUCGGAAUCUACUUUUUCGUGGGGGAUAACGUAGGGAAACUUACGCUAAUACCGCAUACGACCUACGGGUGAAAGCAGGGGAUCUUCGGACCUUGCGCGAUUGAAUGAGCCGAUGUAGGAUUAGCUAGUUGGCGGGGUAAAGGCCCACCAAGGCGACGAUCCGUAGCUGGUCUGAGAGGAGGAGCAGCCACACUGGAACUAAGGCACGGUCCAGACUCCUACGGGAGGCAGCAGUGGGGAAUAUUGGAGAAUGGGCGCAAGCCUGAUCCAGCCAUACCGCGUGGGUGAAGAAGGCCUUCGGGUUGUAAAGCCCUUUUGUUGGGAAAGAAAAGCAGCAGGUUAAUACCCCGCUGUUCUGACGGUACCCAAAGAAUAAGCACCGGCUAACUUCGUG
rnacentral:rRNA from 1 species